UACAGAGGUCUCAAGCGUUGUUCGGAUUCAUUGGGCGUAAAAGGUGCGUAGGCGGUGUGGUAAGUCGAAUGUGAAAUCUCGGAGCUCAACUCCGAAACUGCAUUCGAUACUGCCAUACUCGAGGAUUGUAGAGGAGAUCGGAAUUCACGGUGUAGCAGUGAAAUGCGUAGAUAUCGUGAGGAAGACCAGUUGCGAAAGCGGAUCUCUGGGCAACUCCUGACGCUGAGGCACGAAGGCUAGGGGAGCAAACGGG
rnacentral:rRNA from 1 species